UUUGAGAAGCUUUUGAGGGGAUUUGGGGCUCCCUGAGGGGAUUUUGGGCUAUUUUGAGGGGAUUUUGGGCUGCCUGACAGAUUUUGGGGCAUUUUGAUAGGAUUUUGGGCAGCCUGAGGGGUUUUUGGGCUAUUUUGAGGGGAUUUUGGGCUGCCUGAGGGGUUUUUGGGCAAUUUUGAGAAGCUUUUGAGGGGAUUUUGGGCUCUCUGGUGGAUAUUGGGGGUAUUUUGAGGGGAUUUUGGGCUCAUAGAGGAAUUUUUGGGCUAUUUUGAGGGGAUUUUGGGCUGCCUGAGGGGUUUUGUGGGUAUUUUGAGAAGCUUUUGAGGGGAUUUUGGGCUCCCUGGUGGAUUUUGGGGGUAUUUUGAUGGGAUUUUGGGCUCCCUGAGGGGAUUUUGGGCAAUUUUGAGGAGCUUUUUAGGGGAUUUUGGGCUCCCUGAGGGGAUUUUGGGCUAUUUUGAGGGAAUUUUGGGCUCCCUGAGGGGUUUUUGGGCUAUUUUGAGAAUCUUUUGAGGGGAUUUUGGGCUCCCUGAGGGGAUUUUGGGCUAUUUUGAGGGGAUUUUGGGCUGCCUGAGGGCUUUUUGGGCAAUUUUGAUGGGAUUUUGAGGGGAUUUUGGGCUCCCUGAUGGAUUUUGGGGGUAUUCGGAUGGGAUUUUGGGCUGCCUGAGGGGUUUUUGGGUACUUUUGAGAAGUUUUGAAGGGAUUUUGGGCUCCCUGAGGGGUUUUUGGGCUAUUUUGAGGGAAUUUUGGGCUCCCUGAGGGGUUUUUGGGCUAUUUUGAGAAGCUUUUGAGGGGAUUUUGGGCUGCCUGAGGGGUUUUGUGGGUAUUUUGGGAAGCUUUUGAGGGGAUUUGGGGCUCCCUGACGGAUUUUGGGGGCAUUUUGAUAGGAUUUUGGGCAGCCUGAGGGGUUUUGGGGCUAUUUUGAGGGGAUUUUGGGCUGCCUGAGGGGUUUUUGGGGUAUUUUGAGGGGAUUUUGAGGGGAUUUUGGGCUGCCUGAGGGGUUUUGUGGGUAUUUUGAGAAGCUUUUGAGGGGAUUUUGGGCUCCCUGGUGGAUUUUGGGCUAUUUUGAUGGGAUUUUGGGCUCCCUGAGGGGUUUUUGGGUAAUUUGGAGAAGCUUUUGAGGGGAUUUUGGGCUCCCUGGUGGAUUUUGGGGGUAUUUUGAGGGGAUUUUGGGCUCCCUGAGGGAGUUUUCGCUAUUUUAAAGGGGUUUUGGGCUCCCUGAGUGGUUUUUGGGCUAUUUUGAGAAGCUUUUGAGGGGAUUUUGGGCUCCCUGAGGGUUUUUUGGGCUAUUUUGUGGGGCUUUUGGGCUGCCUGAGGGGUUUUUGGGGUAUUUUGAGGAGCUUUUGAGGGGAUUUUGGGCUCCCUGGGGGGUUUUUCGGUUAUUUUUACAAGCUUUUGAGGGGAUUUUGGGCUCCCUGAGAGAUUUUUGGGAGAUUUUGAUGGCAUUUCGGGCUGCCUGAGGGAUUUUUGUGGGAUUUUGGGUUAUUUUGAGAUGAUUUUGGACUCUCUGAGUGGUUUUUGGGCAGUUUUGAGGGUAUUUUGUGGGGAUUUUGGGCUCUGUGAGGGUUUUUGGUGUAUUUUGAAGGGAUUUGGGGCUCCCUGAGGGGAUUUUUGUGGGAUUUUGCGUUAUUUUGAGGGGAUUUUGGGAUCCCUGAGGGGAUUUUUGUGGGAUUUUGGGUUAUUUUGAGGGGAUUUUGGGCUCCCUGAGAGAUUUUUGGGCUAUUUUGAUGGGAUUUUGGACUCCCUGAGGGGAUUUUGGGGCAUUUUGAGGGGAUUUUGGACUCCCGGGGGGGUUUUUUGGGGUAUUUUUAGAAGCUUUUGAAGGGAUUUUGGGCUCCCUGAGGUGAUUUUUGUGGGGUUUUGGGUUAUUUUGAGGGGAGUUUGGGCUCCAUGAGGGGAUUUUGGGUUAUUUUGAGGGGAUUUUGGACUCUCUGAGUGGUUUUUAGGCAAUUUUGAGGAUAUUUUGAGGGGAUUUUGGGCUCCAUGAGGGGUUUUUGGGCUAUUUUGGGGGGAUUUUGGGCUCUGUGAGGGUUUUUGGGGUAUUUUGAAGGGAUUUUGGGGUCCCUGAGGUGAUUUUUGUGGGAUUUUGGGGGUAUUUUGAGGGGAUUUUGGGCUGCCUGAGGGGUUUUUGGGAUAUUUUGCGGGGAUUUUGGGCUCCCUGAGGGAAUUUUUGUGGGGUUUUGGGUUAUUUUGAGGGGAGUUUGGGCUCCCUGAGGGGAUUUUGGGUUAUUUUGAGGGGAUUUUGGGGUCCCUGAGAGAUUUUUGGGCUAUUUUGAGGGGAUUUUGGGUUGCCUGAGGGGAUUUUGGGGUAUUUUGAGGGGAUUUUGGGCUCCCUGGUGGAUUUCUGGGCUAUUUGAGCGGAUUUUGGAGUCUCUGAGGUGAUUUUUGUGGGUUUUUGUGUUAUUUUGAGGGGAUUUUGGGCUCAUAGAGGAAUUUUUGGGCUAUUUUGAGGGGAUUUUGGGCUGCCUGAGGGGUUUUUGGUCUGUUUUGAGAAGCUUUUCAUGGGAUUUGGGGCUCCCUGAGGAUUUUUGGGCUAUUUUGAGGGGAUUUUGGGCUGCCUGCGGGGUUUUUGGUGUAUUUUGAGGGGAUUUUGGGCUCCCUGAGGGGUUUUUAGGCUGUUUUGAGAAGCUUUUGAGGGGAUUUAGGGCUCCCUGGUGGAUUUUGGGCGUAUUUUGAGGGGAUUUCGGGUUUCCUUAUUGAUGGAGAAGGAAGACUCGCUCACCAGAUGAUGAUCGACAAGUCUCGUCUUUAUUCCCGAAUCACCGAUUAUUAUACACCUUUUAAUUAGCUCAUGCAUAGUGCAAAAUCCCAGCUCACCAUUGGCUAACUAGCUAUCAACUAACUACGUGCUGUUUUUGGUAUAACUAUCCCACUUUCCCAGGCUAUUUGCUCCACCACCUGCUCGGUGCAUUACUUCAUCCGUGGGCCAAGGACACACAGUUUAAUUGGAAUGGCAACUCCCUUCAUUCUGUAUCUUGGUCAAAUUAAUCUCACUGUGAGCUUUAGCUCGGAGCCAGCUUGUUACAAAGCUCUCAACACCUGAGGGGUUUUUGGGCAAUUUUGAGGGGAUUUUGGGAUCCCUGAGGGAUUCUGGGGGUAUUUUGAGGGGAUUUUGGGCUCCCCGAGGAAUUUUGGGUGUAUUUUGAGGGGAUUUUGGGCUGCCUGAGAGAUUUUGGGGGUUAUUUUGAGGGGAUUUUGGGCUCCCUGAGGGAUUUUGGGGGUAUUUUGAGUGGAUUUUGGGCUGCCUGAGGGGGUUUUGGGCUAUUUUGAGAAGCUUUUGAGGGGUUUUUGGGCUCCCUGAGGGGUUUUGGGCACUUUUGAGGCGAUUUUGGGCUCCCUGAGAGAUUUUAGGGGCAUUUUGAGAAGCUUUUGGGAUGCCUGAGGGAUUUUUGGGAGAUUUUGAGGGGAUUUGGGGCUCCCUGUGGGAUUUUGGGGAUACUUUGAGGGGAUUUUGCCCCCCUGAGGGGAUUUUUUGAGAUUUUGUGGGGAUUUUGAACUCUCUGAGUGGUUUUUGGGGUACUUUUGAGAAACUUUUGAGGGGAUUUUGGGUUCUCUGAGCGAAUUUUUGGGUAUUUUGUGGAGAUUUUGUGCUCCCUGAGGGAUUUGUGGGGAUUUUGGGCUCCGUGAGGGGAUUUGUGGGGGUAUUUUGAGGGUAUUUUGGGCUCCCUGAGGGAAUUUUGAGGAGAUUUUGACGGGAUUUUGGACUCCCUGAGCGAUUUUUGGUAAUUUUUGAUGGGAUUUCGGGCUCCCUGAGGGAGUUUGUCUUGUUCCCCUCAUGCCGGGGCAGUCCCGGGUGGAGCUUUCAGCCAUCUUGGCCUCGGGGGCGGAGCUGGGUGUGCUGCUGAGUGGGCGGGGCCUGAGGACUCCCAGAAUCCCCUCAGGGACACUAAAAUCUUCCAGACCCCUCCAAAUUCUAGUCAAAAUCCACCCAGAACCCCCCAAUUUUCUCAAAUCUAUCCCCAAAAUUCUCCCUGCCCCCCCCCAAAAUCCCAAAUCUCCUUCCAGAAAUCUUCAAAUCUCCCUAGGGAUCCCCCCAGGACACCCCAAAAUCUCCACAUUUCCCCCAAAAUUCCCCCUGGGCCCCGCAAAAUCACUCCCAGGAGACCUCACAAUCCCCAAAUCUCCUCCAAAAUCCCCUCAGGUACCCCCAGAAAAUCACAAAUUCCCCCCCAAAAUCCCAAAUCUCCCCCAGGACCCCCCAAAAUCUCCUCUGCACCCCCAAAAAUCUUCCCCGAAAUUUCCUCCAGGAGCCCCUAAAAAUCCCAAGUUCUCCCCAAAAAUCCUCCCUGCAACCCCCAAAAUAUUCCCAAAAUUCCCCCUGGACCCCCAAAAUCUCCCCCCAAAAAAGCCCCCCAGGACCCCCCAAAAUCCCAAAUGUGCCCCCCAAAAUCCCAAAUGUGCCCUCCAAAAUCCCAAAUUUCCCCCCAAAAUCCCCAAUCCCCUCAGGUGUCAAUCAAGGCUGUCUGCAAGGCCCGGGAGGCGGUGCUCUGGAGGCCACGCCCACCCAGAGCUGCCAAUCACCCCAGGGAACCCCAGGAGGCUCCGGAUUGGGUGGAACAGGCAGAGCUGCGGCUGCAGCAGUGCCUGCGGUUCCUGAGCACGGCCAGCAGGGGGCGCCUGGCAGCACUGCGCCCCCUGCAGGAGCAGGUGGGGACUGCACCAGUAAGGACCAGUACGGACCAGUACAGACCAGUAUGGACCAGUAUGGAGCAGUACAGACCAGUACAGACCAGUAUGGACCAGUACGGACCAGUACAGACCAGUAUGGACUGGGAUAGACCAGUACGGACCAGUAUAAACCAAUAUAGACCAGUAUAGACCAGUAUAGACUAGUACAGACCAAUGAUCCCUAUUGACCCUGCAGGAGUAGGUGGGGACUGCACCAGUAUGGACCACUAUAAACCAGUACAGACCAGUAUAGACCAGUACAGACCAAUGAUCCUUAUAGACCCUGCAGGAGUAGGUGGGGACUGCACCAGUAUGGACCAGUAUGGAACCAAUAUAGACCAGUAGGGACUAGGAUAGACCAGUAUGGACCAGUACAGACAAGUAUGGACCAGUACAGACCAGUAACCUCCAGUGACCUCCCAGUGCUCCCAGUCCAAACCAGUACAGAUCCCCCAGUGCCCGUGCAGGAGCAGGUGGGGAUUGCACCAGUACAAACCAGUACAGACCAGUAACCCCCCCAGUCCCCUCCCAGUUUGUCCCAGUCCCUCCCAGUAUAACCCAGUCCCUCCCAGCACAAGCCAGUCCAUCCCAGUUUGUUCCAGUCCCUUCCCAGUUUGUCCCAGUCACCCCCCAAUCCCAUCCCAGUUCCCUCCCAGUCCAUCCCAGUAUCCCCCAGUUCCCUCCCAGUGCUCCCAGUAUGACUCCAGCUGUGAUCCCAGUGCUCCUGGUAACUCCCAGUUUGAUCCCAGUUCCCUCCCAGCAUCCCCCCAUUUCCCCCAGUUCCCACCAGUCCCUCCCAAUCCCCCAUUCCAAGCUCUCUGAUUGGCCGCAGGUGGUGGGUGUGGCCUGGGCGGGGCCGGGCUCAGCCGCUCCCCCGCUGGAGGGGGCGGGGCUGUGUUGUCAGGAGCUGUUGCUGGGAGCACUGGGAGAGCCCCUCCCCCCGCCUGCAGCCCCGCCCCCUCUCUGGGGGAUGGGCUGGGAGCUGGGGCAGCACAGGUGGGGGCGGAGCCAAAGGGGCCAGGGCCUAAACAUGGGGGGCUGAAAGAGGAGGAGCUUAAACUGGGGGAGGGGCUUGAA